rnacentral:misc_RNA from 1 species
UUUGGUGUGUAUUUGCAUGUCAGAUCCUUGUUUCGGCANCGAAKGCAUGUCAAUCAUAUCUUUUCAAUUGUUGGUUCAAGUGCAGCUUUGGCUUGGUCUGGAUUGGUUUCUUGUGUUGCAUACCUCUACGAUGGUAAUUGGUCGGCCUAAGUGUUCAAGCUUCUUACAUGCACCAAACCCUUUUUGGGUGUGGUGUGAGUUGGACCAUGAAGCAUGCAUAGUGUUCCACCUCCUAGGACUGUACCGGUUCUUUGGGUUGUUGGCACAUUAUGCAUUUGCUUGAUCUCUUGGAUACGGAAAAUUGAGUGGGUACGAAGCAAGCUCUUGUUUGCUUCUAUUUGCCCUAAAACUAAGCGUUCGACGCUUCUUGCGUACGACUGUUGUUCGUUUUGGUUAGGUCCUUUGGGGCUUGAGUCAUGCGUUAACAACGUCGUUGAGGAA